GAUGAACGCUGGCGGCGUGCCUAAUACAUGCAAGUAGAACGCUGAAGGAAGGAGCUUGCUCUUUCCGGAUGAGUUGCGAACGGGUGAGUAACGCGUAGGUAACCUGCCUGGUAGCGGGGGAUAACUAUUGGAAACGAUAGCUAAUUCCGCAUAACAGUAGAUGUUGCAUGAUAUCUACUUAAAAGGUGCAAUUGCACCACUACCAGAUGGACCUGCGUUGUAUUAGCUAGUUGGUGAGGUAACGGCUCACCAAGGCGACGAUACAUAGCCGACCUGAGAGGGUGAUCGGCCACACUGGGACUGAGACACGGCCCAGACUCCUACGGGAGGCAGCAGUAGGGAAUCUUCGGCAAUGGACGGAAGUCUGACCGAGCAACGCCGCGUGAGUGAAGAAGGUUUUCGGAUCGUAAAGCUCUGUUGUAAGAGAAGAACGAGUGUGAGAGUGGAAAGUUCACACUGUGACGGUAUCUUACCAGAAAGGGACGGCUAACUACGUG
rnacentral:rRNA from 1 species